rnacentral:rRNA from 1 species
CAAUAUGAAGGUCAGGCUGAAGACCUUACCCGAUUAGCUGAGAGGUGGUGCAUGGCCGUCGUCAGUUCGUACUGUGAAGCAUCCUGUUAAGUCAGGCAACGAGCGAGACCCACGUCCACAGUUGCCAGCACUACCCGUCCGGGGUGAUGGGUACACUGUGGAGACCGCCGCUGCUAAAGCGGAGGAAGGAGUGGGCAACGGUAGGUCAGUAUGCCCCGAAUCUCCCGGGCUACACGCGGGCUACAAUGGUUGGUACAAUGGGCAUCUACCCGAAAGGGGAAGGAAAUCUCUUAAAGCCAAUCGUAGUUCGGAUUGAGGGCUGCAACUCGCCCUCAUGAAGCUGGAAUCCGUAGUAAUCGCGUUUCAACAGAACGCGGUGAAUACGUCCCUGCUCCUU